rnacentral:rRNA from 1 species
AACGAACGCUGGCGGCAGGCUUAACACAUGCAAGUCGAGCGCCCCGCAAGGGGAGCGGCAGACGGGUGAGUAACGCGUGGGAACGUACCUUUUGGUUCGUAACAACUCCGGGAAACUGGAGCUAAUACCGGAUAAGCCCUAACGGGGAAAGAUUUAUCGCCGAAAGAUCGGCCCGCGUCUGAUUAGCUAGUUGGUGAGGUAACGGCUCACCAAGGCGACGAUCAGUAGCUGGUCUGAGAGGAUGAUCAGCCACACUGGGACUGAGACACGGCCCAGAAUCUUACGGGAGGCAGCAGUGGGGAAUAUUGGACAAUGGGCGCAAGCCUGAUCCAGCCAUGCCGGGUGAGUGAUGAAGGCCUUAGGGUUGUAAAGCUCUUUUGUCCGGGAAGAUAAUGACUGUACCGGAAGAAUAAGCCCCGGCUAACUUCGUG